UGUUCAUAUUUAAAGCCCACUGGGAGACUUAAAAAAUUCAUAGGUGAAAUUACAUUUCACAAAAACCAGUGCCAGUCACAGUUUUACUUUUCGUAUUUGCAGAUUGGUGUCUUGGCGAAAAAUAGAAAAAAUGUCAAGAGGUCCACCCGAUUGUCGACAGUGUCUAGUAGACGAAAAUUGUCGGCCCAAUUUUUUGUUGUGGGUACAAACGAAAUAUCCGGCUAACUCCGAGAACUUUACUACUAAAAUUAAAAUGUUUGAGAGGUUUACUAACAUGGACGAUUUUAAUGCACUGAGUGUGACGGAGAAACAGCCAUUCCUAAAGAUAGUUAUUGACUUGAGAAAACUACAUCAAGAAUAUUUUUCUGGAAAGUAAAAAUAAAAAGGCUUAAUAUCUCAGCACAUUUCAACUUAUUCCACCUUACUUCUCUUAUCCAUAUCCGUAUCACGCAUAAAUAAUCUAUCGUCCAUAUUAGAAGCAAAGAUAAAAUUACUGCUGAUUAGAUAAGUAUUUUUUCAGUAUUUAAGAUUAACUUGUAACUAUUGCAAUCAAUGUUGCAACAGAAACAAAAUUGUUUCAUAUGAAUCAAAAGUUUAUUAAAUGUUACUGUUUUUACGAAAGCUUAACUGAACUUUAGAUAAAUCUCAGCGGUUCUAAUAAUUUUCUCAAAAUAUCAUGACAGACGAAUUAAAACAGCUACAUACUUACUUAACAACUAAACACGAAUACAAAGAUGAUCUCGAAACCCUCCAAAACCAAGCUAGUAAUUCUGAUUUAAUUAAUUGGUAUCUGUACAUAUGUUACGAAGAAAAUUACACAACUGAUGCAGAGUGGUUAAUUCAAAAUAAAAUACGCAUUACCGAAGCAAUUGACGAUGAUUUGACACCUUUAGAAAACUCCUGCGACCUACAGUUCGUGAAAACGAUCAAGCCGUUAAUAACAAAAUUGGACCAAGAAACUUCAGGCAAGAUAGAAGAUAAAAAAAAAAUUCUAUGUUCAUCGCUAGGCAUCACAAUAAAACGUUUAGCUGACGGUAAAGUAUCUAACGAAGAUAUACUAUGUUAUAAAUACGUAUUAGAAGCUGUAAAAAAUACGAAAGAUUUGGACACUGAACAAUAUGAAGAUGGUUAUAAAUUUACACCUUUGUCUUACGCCAUCUACUAUAAUCACCCGGAUAUUGUAGUGGACCUUCUUGAAACAGUUUGUUUGAUGAAUUGCCAUACCAGUGUUAGUCCUAUCGACAAAAUAGAUCCAAAGGCAUUAGGAAAACACCUAGAUAGGUACAUAACUACAGAAAUAAAUGUAGGUACGUACAAAAAUCCGGGAAUAAAUAUCAAAUUUAACUUUGAAACAUUACUAUGUCGAGAAAGACACAAAUAUAAGACCCACAAACCUCACAACGAAACAGAAGUUCUGUCCAAAAUUAGUAGUUUAAAAAAAUUUGAUAAUCUACUUUUGCAUCCUCUUAUCGUAGCAUUUUUGUUAAUGAAGUGGAAAGGUACGAUCACGUACGAGAUUUUUUAUUGGUGUCGUUUAGUUUUUUGGGUUAUUAAUUCAAUAUUGUUUAUGGUUUACUUCAAGCAUAAUACAUAUGACUUACCAUAUUAUUUAUGUUUGACUACGCACAUUAUUUAUCUUAUAUAUGCAGUUGUUGAAACGAUAAUAACGAAAGACUUUUCUCUAAGCACAUGUGUACGUAAUAUUAUUUUGAUUUUAAUGUUGAUUUUAAUAUCCAUUUCACUAUUUCUUGCAAACACAUGGUUCAAACUGUUAGCAUGUUUAACUAUAGUCUUGUCGUGCUUUGAAAUACUUCUGCUUUUUAGUGUGCGCUCUAUAUAUGGAGAAAUGGUUAAAGUGGUAUUUAUUAACAUGGUGAAACUACUAUUUUGGUAUUUUUUGAUAUUAUUGCUACCCCUUAUACUUAUUUACAAUAUAAUUUUUGAUUGUUUCGUAACAAAAAAAUGGCCGAAAUCGAUCGUAAAUGUUUUUUCACUUCUUAUUGGCAACACAGACUCUGACUCUUUGUCUGAUUCACCAACAGAUGCACUCAUCUACCUACUUUUAAUCAUUAUACUAUCAAUAUCACUUUCUAAUGUAAUUAAUGGAAAAGCUGUAAAUGACAUACAGAAUUUGGAACAACAAUCAGAUGUUCUUCGUCAAAAAGCAAAAAUUCAAUUUAUAUAUCGUACUGACAAGGUUGUAAAUUUUAUAACAAGAAAAAAAAAUACCAACGGUACACCAAGUUUGGCGUCAGGACUCAUCAAUUCUAGUAUAAUCUCAGGCCACACAAAUUAUAGGGGCAAUAACGGAAACAAGAUUAUAUCGUUUGACGAGCAAAUUAUCGAAUGCCUUAACCUUUAUUUUGAUAAAAAGGACAACUCAAUUGUUGUUUAUUCCGGAUAUUUGGAAAAUUGAUGUUGUAAAAGAUAACAACGACAAAUCAUUAAUUUAAUAAUUCCUCAUAUUAUACUUCGUUAAUUUAACAAUUAUUAUCAUAAUUCUUAGUUUUUUAUUAUUUUUAAUUAACAUCGUUCGCUUAUUGUUAUUGGCUACUUUGUAAAAGUUAUCACUUUAAUUUCACUUUAAGUGUGUAGCGUUAUGCCUCCACCUGGUAUAUUUUCUUUUGUAUUUUCAUUUUCUGUAAUUGGGUGCUUACUCGUUGGGAAUAAAUGCAUUAUUCUUAUUAUUAAUAAUAUUAUUAUAUGUAUAUCCCUAUUAUUGAGACAAUUUUAUUUCAUAGUUCAUUUAAAAAUAAUAUUAUAAUUUUAAACAAAAUUGUGCAAAAUAAACGACAUCUUCAAGUAACUACCUCUUAGCUAUUAGUAAUUGUUGUGAGGUUUUUGUAAUCAAGUCUUAUUGAUAAUAAACAUCUUGAUUGUGAA